GAUGAACGCUGGCGGCGUGCCUAAUACAUGCAAGUCGAGCGAACAGACGAGGAGCUUGCUCCUCUGACGUUAGCGGCGGACGGGUGAGUAACACGUGGAUAACCUACCUAUAAGACUGGGAUAACUUCGGGAAACCGGAGCUAAUACCGGAUAAUAUAUUGAACCGCAUGGUUCAAUAGUGAAAGACGGUUUUGCUGUCACUUAUAGAUGGAUCCGCGCCGCAUUAGCUAGUUGGUAAGGUAACGGCUUACCAAGGCAACGAUGCGUAGCCGACCUGAGAGGGUGAUCGGCCACCCUGGAACUGCGACACGGUCCAGACUCCUACGGGAGGCAGCAGUAGGGAAUCUUCCGCAAUGGGCGAAAGCUUGACGGAGCAACGCCGCGUGAGUGAUGAAGGUCUUCGGAUCGUAAAACUCUGUUAUUAGGGAAGAACAAAUGUGUAAGUAACUAUGCACGUCUUGACGGUACCUAAUCAGAAAGCCACGGCUAACUACGUG
rnacentral:rRNA from 1 species